CUACGGGGGGCUCCAGUCGAGAAUAUUCGACAAUGGGCGAAAGCCUGAUCGAGCGACGCCGCGUGCAGGAAGAAGUGCUUCGUUAUGUAAACUGCUUUUGUAGACUAGUAAGUUUUGAACAGUCUAAGAAUAAGAGGUUGCUAAACUCGUGCCAGCAGCAGCGGUAAUACGAGUGCCUCAAGCGUUAUCCGGAAUUAUUGGGCGUAAAGGGUGUGUAGGUGGUUUUGUUAGUCUCCUGUUAAAUCUCUCGGCUUAACCGAGAACUCGCAGGAGAAACGGCAAGACUUUAGAGUGUGCGAGGGGUCUGUGGAACUCAUAGUGUAGCGGUGAAAUGCGUUGAUAUUAUGGGGAACACCAAAAGCGAAGGCAGCAGACUGGAGCAUUACUGACACUGAAACACGAAAGCGUGGGUAGCGAAUGGGAUUAGAUACCCGAGUAGUC
rnacentral:rRNA from 1 species